UACGUAGGGAGCAAGCGUUGUCCGGAAUCAUUGGGCGUAAAGAGCGCGUAGGCGGCCCUGUAAGUCCGCUGUGAAAGUCAAGGGCUCAACCCUUGAAUGCCGGUGGAUACUGCAGGGCUAGAGUCCGGAAGAGGCGAGUGGAAUUCCUGGUGUAGCGGUGAAAUGCGCAGAUAUCAGGAGGAACACCGAUGGCGAAGGCAGCUCGCUGGGACGGUACUGACGCUGAGGCGCGAAGCGUGGGAGCAAACAGG
rnacentral:rRNA from 1 species